rnacentral:rRNA from 1 species
UACGGGGGGGGCAAGCGUUGUUCGGAAUUACUGGGCGUAAAGGGCUCGUAGGCGGCCAACUAAGUCAGACGUGAAAUCCCUCGGCUUAACCGGGGAACUGCGUCUGAUACUGGAUGGCUUGAGUUCGGGAGAGGGAUGCGGAAUUCCAGGUGUAGCGGUGAAAUGCGUAGAUAUCUGGAGGAACACCGGUGGCGAAGGCGGCGAUCCUGGACCGACACUGACGCUGAGGAGCGAAAGCCAGGGGAGCAAACGGGG